GAUAAUUUGCUCGCAUUUGAUUUGGUGACAAGACCUAUGAGGGUGGAAACGAUUAUGAAAUCUAUGAAUCACCAAAAACAAUUGGCCACUCAGUUACGAGUCCAGAUGACACAAUGGCAAAAUGCAAGGCUCUGUUCAUGUCUUGAAACACAAUCCAUCUCAGUGUCAAGAGUUUGAUUCUUCUUU